rnacentral:lncRNA from 1 species
UUCAGCUUGGGCACUGGUCUGCGGAUGGGCAGAAGCCAAGCUGUCCUCAACACGGUGUGGAAGUGGAGUGCUCGGAUUCCCCGACAUCAUGCUCUGUCCUCAGUCUACCAGUACGGCUGCAUGGGGUUUGAGCCCUGGAGUUGGGAGAUAAAAACUUGGGAAAGGAAGAGUUCUGGAAGGAGGUGAGGCAGUAAAUUAAGUGUCCUGAGUCCAGCUACUCUUCUCGG